rfam:Ovis aries breed Texel chromosome 16, whole genome shotgun sequence.
UUCCUGGUGGUCCAGUGGUUAAGACUCCAUGCUCUCACUGCUGAGGACCCAGGUUCAAUCCCUGGUCAGGGAA